GAAGUAAAAAGUCGUAACAAGGUUUCCGUAAGGUGAACCCUGCGGAAGGAUCAUUG
rnacentral:rRNA from 1 species